rnacentral:lncRNA from 1 species
GUGUAUUGGUCUUUGCCAAAUGGGUAUACUCAAUAUAUUUAGAGAUAUAUUAACAAAACAUGCCCAGCAAUCGCUUGGAUGCGAUGCGGACUUAGGUAGGUAAAACAUCAGAUAUUAAAAGUGGCAUGCUUAAAAGGUGUAAAGGCAGCUGCCGUCGUCGCUCCUUGCCGUUGGGUCGUAGUUCUUGGCAUUUUGGUCGGUGCAACCUUCCGGCACGGGCAAAGUACCUUGCUGUGCUCCUUUACCUGC